CCUACGGGUGGCAGCAGUGAGGAAUAUUGGUCAAUGGACGAGAGUCUGAACCAGCAAAGUAGCGUGAAGGAUGACUGCCCUAUGGGUUGUAAACUUCUUUUAUAAAGGAAUAAAACGAGGCACGUGUGCCUUUUUGCAUGUACUUUAUGAAUAAGGCUCGGCUAACUCCGUGCCAGCAGCCGCGGUAACACGGAGGGACCGAGCGUUAUGCGGAUUUAUGGGGGUUAAAGAGAGCGUAGAUGGGUUGUUAAGUCAGAUGUGAAAGUUUGCGGCGCAACCGUAAAAUUGCAUUUGAUACUGGCAGUCUUGAGUACAGUUGAGGUAGGCGGAAUUCGUGGUGUAGCGGUGAAAUGCUUAGAUAUCACGAAGAAUCCCGAUUGCGAAGGCAACCUGCUAAACUGUGACUGACAUUGAUGCUCGAAAGUGUGGGUAUCAAACAGGAUUAGAUACCCGUGUAGUC
rnacentral:rRNA from 1 species